UGCUGUAUUUUAAUUUAUUCAAAUUGGAAUGAGAAGGACAAAGUGACCAGGACAUUGCCUUUUUUGGAUGCCCCCCAUCUGGUAGUAAGCUGGCAAUAGGCACAAUCAUGCCUCAAGGAUUCCCUCCUCACUCCAAACCAAGCCCAGAGAAAGAAGAGGGGAAAGGAGAAGGAAGCAGGCUGCGGGGGCCAAUGUGGAUAAGGAACUGAGAUGCAGAGAGCUUCAGAAACUUGCCAAGGCUGGAAGAGAUGGUGCCAGGCAAUCUGACUGGAGACCCUGCAGUCUUCCUUGGGGAUUCCAAGGAUGAGAACAGGAAUACCUGCACUCAGAGAAACCAAGAGCCUGAGGGAUCGAGUCACUCAUACAGUAGAACCAACAAGUUUCAGAUCCAUGCACGUUCCUGGAUGUACAACGAAUCCCUUGUUUCCAACUCUUACAAAAUGUGGUAUAGCUACCACAUCUUACCCACCUCGCGCCCAGAGAUGACAUCAAGUUCCUGGCACCACCACCACGAUUGCCACAGUGCUGGGGUGCACAAUCUUCCACAUCCCUUCCUGGGCCAGUCUGAGAGGGACCUCAGGCUUACAGGAUCUGACCUGAAUUCCAGUUCAUACCCUACUCCCCAAGACUCUCCCAGAUGGUGCGCCAUCAUAUCCUUGCACAACUUGCUGCUAUCCAGCUUCCUAAUUCCUGCCAGUCUGGUCCUUGUAAAGUGAUAUCUCACUAUUUCUUUGGCAUCACUCUGAUUAUUUAGGAAUUGGAGUAACUCUUCAUAUGUUUGGGGGACACUUAAAUUCUCUGGAUUGGCCUCAUCAGACUGAGAGUGGAAGAGGAAAGAUCAGCCCACUUAACCAGCCUGAGCCAUCACCUGCCUGCAGGAAUAGAUGUUCCCCUUGCCUAGUGCUGCAAGUGGAGUAGAGCAGAGAAUACAUCAUGCAAUUCCAGGGGAGGCCAGAUAAAAGCAGCUUAAAGGCGGCCUGGGCUUGUUGAGAACCAGGCAAUGUUAUACAUUUUUCCACCCUUGCCCUUUUGUAUCUGGGUGAACUGGCUUCUCUAAAGGCAAUAUGACUUGCCUAAGGUCGCAUGGCUAGUAAGUGCCAAAGCCAGAUCUAGUCCCAGGACUCCUACGGGAAUCUCUUGUGACACGUGGCCACCUUUAUUUAUCUGUCUGGAGCAAUCAGAGGAGGACCCUUGGAGGAGGAACAAAUUACACUGGAUGCUGAAGGAUGGAGACCUUUCAUGAGGGCAGCCAGAGCACAUGGUAUGAGAAAGAAUUGCCAGGGCCUGGAGCACACCAGUUGUGGGGAUCUCAUCUUCCUGAAGAGAGCCUGUUGGAGGUGUUCUGGGAAGGGAGCAUAAAGAACAGCCGAGGAAAUGCAGAAUGAAUCCUCUGUCCUCGCUCCCUUGCCCCUUCUACAAAGCCCUGGGAGUCUCUCCUCCCUACGGCUCUCUGUGCCCCCAGAUUUAUUUUGCUUUCUUUCGCUAAAUCAAACUUUAUCAGA
rnacentral:lncRNA from 1 species